rnacentral:lncRNA from 1 species
UUGGGUGAAGUGGACUAGGGCUGCCUAUCAGUGAUAAAGAAAAUACCAUCUCAAUGUGAAUGGUUCACAAAAUAAACAUGGAAAAGUGCAUGUUAUGGAGUGGACUACCAUAUGUUGAUAACACACAAUUUAAAAAUUUUAAAACAAAGGCUCUCUCUUAGCAGCAGCUAAACUAUGGACCAUUCUGUAGUUAGGAUAUCCAGCAAAUAAGAUUUUUCUUUUUCUUAAAGAAAAUGUCUUCCACAACCAAAACAGAAGAAAAACAGAAACCAACAACACCAAAGCUUAUGGCCUAGGUUAAGGUCAGAUCUUUAAAAAGCAAGCACACUAAAAAAAAAAAAGACUCAUUCAACUGUGAGACUCAAAGCUGUAGUCCUACAUCUCAAUUAAAGAUCGAUGCUGGUCCCCUUAUAUAACAGCAGCAGUGCAUGCUGUAACAUGACAAAGCACCAAACAAGCAGGUGCGGGAGUGCCAUGUUUGUUAGUGGUUGUUACAAUAAAAUAUAUUAAGCAAUGCAUCAAAAUAUAGUUAUGAGCAAGCAUUGCCAUGCCAGUCAGCAUGUAUUGGAACUAAACUUAUUUCGAUUCAUUUUAUCCUUCAACAUGCCUAUACAAAAAUUUCCAUUCACUUUAUCCUCAAUUGGAACUAACCUUAUUGUUGAGCAUGUAUGUAUUUCUUAUUCUCUCUUUUUAGUAACCAAGCACAUCCAUUUCAAUAUCCUACCUCAAAAAUAAUUUUAUGUAUGGUUGUUUCCUGACUAUCCAACAUACAAAACCAUGAAUGUUAGUCGGUCUCACAAUGAUCAUACCUUAUUUUAUUUUUAAUCUGUGUCAAAUGAAGAUCACAAGUCUCUUGAUGUCUCUGCACUUUCACCAUCUUUCUUUAAUUAAAUAAACAAUAUUUCCAUCAAUCUCUGUUGCCUAUCAAAUAUAGACCCCAUAUAUCUAAAAAUUACACUACUAAGAACACAUACACUGUGUCAAUUUAAAGAGGUGAAGACCAAGCGGGAUCAGGUUGACCUGAUGGGCUUAGGUCGGGAUUGACAAUCCCUGUAAUGCUGAAGUUAUACUUUAUAUACUCAGUCCUACAACAUAAUGAUUUAAAAAACCCUCUAAAUAUAGAGUGAAAAGGCAUAAAUAUAGAAGAUUAUGAAGUAAAAAAAACUUUAAAAAAUAAAAAUAAAGAAAGAAGAUAGCCUAAAGCAGAUUGACCAAAAUGAAUGCACUCUUUUUACGAAUGAUCCAUCAAACAAUAAUGAUUUAUGGUUUGAUCCAUCUAAUCCAGUCAAUCUCCUCUCCAUUUAUAGAUAAUAUUAUUUGACUAUUACUCUCGAGCACUGGAUAAGCCCAAUUUUUAAUCACUUUCUACUCAUCUUUCUUUUGCAUAAAUUUGAGCCCCUUUACGAUUCUUUCACAUAGGAAAGUUAUCCUUUUCUAGCUAUGUAUCAACUUCCCAAUGAAUAAUCAAGUAAGACUCACUGUGUAUCAAGAAUCGUUCUGUAACAUACAAUAAAACAGAUAAAG